rnacentral:rRNA from 1 species
ACACAUGCAAGUCGAACGGAGCACCCUUGAUUGAGGUUUCGGCCAAAUGAUAGGAAUGCUUAGUGGCGGACUGGUGAGUAACGCGUGAGGAACCUGCCUUUCAGAGGGGGACAACAGUUGGAAACGACUGCUAAUACCGCAUGACGCAUUUUGACCGCAUGGUCGAAAUGCCAAAGAUUUAUCGCUGAAAGAUGGCCUCGCGUCUGAUUAGCUAGUUGGCGGGGUAACGGCCCACCAAGGCGACGAUCAGUAGCCGGACUGAGAGGUUGACCGGCCACAUUGGGACUGAGAUACGGCCCAGACUCCUACGGGAGGCAGCAGUGGGGAAUAUUGGGCAAUGGGCGCAAGCCUGACCCAGCAACGCCGCGUGAAGGAAGAAGGCUUUCGGGUUGUAAACUUCUUUUAAGUGGGAAGAGCAGAAGACGGUACCACUUGAAUAAGCCACGGCUAACUACGUGCCAGCAGCCGCGGUAAUACGUAGGUGGCAAGCGUUGUCCGGAUUUACUGGGUGUAAAGGGCGUGCAGCCGGGCAUGCAAGUCAGAUGUGAAAUCUCAGGGCUUAACCCUGAAACUGCAUUUGAAACUGUAUGUCUUGAGUGCCGGAGAGGUAAUCGGAAUUCCUUGUGUAGCGGUGAAAUGCGUAGAUAUAAGGAAGAACACCAGUGGCGAAGGCGGAUUACUGGACGGUAACUGACGGUGAGGCGCGAAAGCGUGGGGAGCGAACAGGAUUAGAUACCCUGGUAGUCCACGCUGUAAACGAUGGAUACUAGGUGUGCGGGGACUGACCCCCUGCGUGCCGCAGUUAACACAAUAAGUAUCCCACCUGGGGAGUACGAUCGCAAGGUUGAAACUCAAAGGAAUUGACGGGG